AAUUUAUUAAAUGUUUCAGUUACAAUUGGAAUUAAGAUAUUUGAAAAACAUUUGACAAAUUCAACCCUAAAUUUAUUAAAAGAUUUUUAUUAUCUUCCAAGGAUCCCUAUUUCAUCAACUUUUGUUCUGAGAUGUUAAUAGGGGUGCUGGAGGGAAAAGGGCAGCUGUUAAAAGAAAAAGUGAGGAGAGGAAGGGAAAGGAAGGGCGAGGACGUUUGCACACAGCCCUUUCAUGGCUGCAACCGCACUGCAGUGGAAGUGAAUUCGGUAAUGGGGCAGCUCCCUUGUCUAGUCUUAGGAGGCCAAGUGCCAUCUACUGGUCACCAGAAUUACUUAAAAAUGUGAAAACUGCGGAAGGGAGGAUCGCUCUGGCAAAAAAACCAAAAAAACAAAAGAAAAACCCAAACCAAAAAACAAAGGAAAACCUUUUAUUUGACGUGCCCCGGAACCUGGGUAUCCAAUGAUGUCCCCUGAUGUCGCUGGGUCGAACUGGAUCCUGGAUCGAAAUUUGUUUCCCAUAACGAACAAAACUAAAAACAAUACGGAGAAUCAGAAUGCUGAAUAUCAGCUUUUCUUGAAUAAGGGAAAAAAAAUUCCGAGCUGCUUUUAUGUCCUGCAAGAAGCCUAAAUAAGUAUGUCCAGUUUUGCUUUGGACAGCACUCUGGGGAGCCCUGAAUUCUAUGAAAAGCACAGAUAAGAAAAUUAACUACAGAGGCUAUAGUUGCUGCUGUUUUGAGUCAAUGGGAAUGUCGCAAAAAUGAAUUUAAACUCCAGUUUUAAUUGGAGAGAUGGUGCGUGAUAGUUUGAAGAAAACUGAAGGGAUGUUUUCCUGUUAAGACUGAAGAGAAGCCAAAGAAGCUAAAAUUCUCUUGAAAGAAGAUGGAGGGAUCUUCUUUCCUAAUAAAACCAUAAGAACUUUUAUCUUGCAACAGGGAUUAAGAGUCUUGCAAAGAGACUUUAUUUGCAAUACUAAAUGAACUAUCUGUACACAUAUAUUGUAUCUAGGAUAUACUGUGACCUAUUUAACAUGUAUAGGACUGCUUGGCAUCUGGGGGAGGGGGUGGAGGGAGGGAGGGGAAAAGUCGGAACAGAAGUGAGUGCAAGGGAUAAUGCUGUAAAAAAUUACCCAGGCAUAUGUUGUGUCAAUAAAAAGUUAUAAUUAUUUAAAAAAAAUACUGAAUGAGCUAAAUCAUGCGGAACUAUGUACUGAGGUUACAUGAAGGUUUGAAGUAACUGGUUAUAACCACUUUCACAAAUAAAAUAUUGUAAAUAAUUAUCUACAUUUUUGUUUCAUUGUCAAUAUUAUUAAUAAAUUGUAUAUGCAAUUCUUUACUAUUUCUUUACUUCUAAGAGGUUAAGGGAUUUGAUUUUUUAAAAUUAAAGCUUUUUAUUUUAAAAAUAUAUGCACAGAUAAUUUUCAACAUUC
rnacentral:lncRNA from 1 species